rnacentral:rRNA from 1 species
AACGAACGCUGGCGGCGCGUUUAACCAUGCAAGUCGAGCGGCAGGCAGCAAUGCCGAGAGCGGCGGACUGGUGAGUAACACGUGGAUAACGUACCCCGAUGCCCGGGACAGCCUGUAGAAAUAGAGGGUGAUACCGGAUAGAUCACUGUAUACGGAAGGUAGACAGCGGGAAAGGAGCUUGGCUCCGCGCCGGGAACGGUUGCGGCCCAUCAGCUGGACGGCGGGGUAACGGCCCGCCGUGGCGAGGACGGGUAUCCGGCCUGAGAGGGCGGACGGACACAUUGGGACUGAGAUACGGCCCAGACUCCUACGGGAGGCAGCAGGUAAGAAUAUUCCGCAAUGGGGGGAACCCUGACGGAGCGACGCCGCGUGAACGAAGAAGGCCGGAAGGUUGUAAAGUUCUUUUCUGUCCGAGGAAUAAGUUUCGGAGGAAAUGCCGGGACGGUGACGGUAGGGCAGGAAUAAGCACCGGC